UACGAAGGGGGCUAGCGUUGCUCGGAAUCACUGGGCGUAAAGGGUGCGUAGGCGGGUCUUUAAGUCAGGGGUGAAAUCCUGGAGCUCAACUCCAGAACUGCCUUUGAUACUGAGGAUCUUGAGUACGGGAGAGGUGAGUGGAACUGCGAGUGUAGAGGUGAAAUUCGUAGAUAUUCGCAAGAACACCAGUGGCGAAGGCGGCUCACUGGCCCGGUACUGACGCUGAGGUGCGAAAGCGUGGGGAGCGAACGAGG
rnacentral:rRNA from 1 species